GGACCCGCACAAGUAGUGGAGCAUGUGGUUUAAUUCGAAGAUACGCGCAGAACCUUACCAACACUUGACAUGUUCGUCGCGACUUUAAGAGAUUAAAGUUUUCGGUUCGGCCGGACGAAACACAGGUGCUGCAUGGCUGUCGUCAGCUCGUGUCGUGAGAUGUUGGUUAAGUCCCGCAACGAGCGCAACCCCUACUUUUAGUUGCCAUCAUUCAGUUGGGCACUUUAAAAGAACUGCCAGUGAUAAGCUGGAGGAAGGUGGGGAUGACGUCAAGUCCUCAUGGCCCUUAUGUGUUGGGCUACACACGUACUACAAUGCUACGGACAAAGGGCAGCAAGUUCGCGAGGACAAG
rnacentral:rRNA from 1 species